rnacentral:rRNA from 1 species
UACGGAAGGCAGCAGUGGGGAAUAUUGCACAAUGGGCGAAAGCCUGAUGCAGCUAUGCCGCGUGUAUGAAGAAGGCCUUAGGGUUGUAAAGUACUUUCAUCGGGGAGGAAAAACAAAACUAAUAAUUUUAUUUCUUGACGUUACCCGAAAAAGAAGCACCGGCUAACUCCGUGCCAGCAGCCGCGGUAAUACGGAGGGUGCUAGCGUUAAUCAGAAUUACUGGGCGUAAAGAGCACGUAGGUGGUUUUUUUAAGUCAGAUGUGAAAUCCCUGGGCUUAACCUAGGAACUGCAUUUUGAAACUGAAAUACUAGAGUAUCGUAGAGGGAGGUAGAAUUCUAGGUGUAGCGGUGAAAUGCGUAGAUAUCUGGAGGAAUACCUGUGGCGAAAGCGGCCUCCUAAACGAAUACUGACACUGAGGGUGCGAAAGCGUGGGGAGCGAAACAGGGAUUAGAUA